CCCAACCCUAGAAUCGCUGUUUUUCCUCUCGCUCCUCCUGUGGGUGGCGCCGCCGCUGCGCACAGAACACAUCCUCGCCAGCGUAGCUUCUCCGGCGUCCGGCCAACGCGCUCACUAGCCUCCCGCCUUCCUCCACAUCUCCUCGCCUCCACCCCAUCCAGUUCGUGCCAUUCGCUGCUCCAAGACAAGGGCAUGGCGCUCGGCGGCUGCGGCAACGAAGCUGAUGGUGCACGAGCCAACCAUGGAGGCAGUAGCACGGGGCAGCGACAGCAGCAUGGAGGGCGUCCUCUUGUUUGGGAAGGUAAUGGAACUGCAAAUAGGAGUGGCAGCGGCGACCAGGAUGCAAAUGGAAGUGGUUCCCAAAGACCUUGGAAAGGACUUAAAGACAAUAACUUAUAUGAUCCUUGGAAUCAUGCAUGGCCGUAUUAUGGGGGUUUUGAUUGCACGUACUGCAGCCUAAAGCACAAAGGUGGAGGUGCAACCCGUGUCGCGGAGCACCUUGGUGGUAUUGUAGGUAAUGUGAGGAGCUGUCCCAAUGUGCCAAGAAAUGUGAGAGAUGCAAUGAGAGAGUGCCGGGAUGAAUCAAGGAGGAAGAAAAGAGACAAACAAAAUAGCAGGCUGAGAAUUGAAAGAAAUAUUAUGGAAGGGUUGUAUAAAAAAGGAGGGGUAGUUAACGUACCAGAUGAUGAUGAAGAAGAAAUUCAGAUGAAUAUUAGAGAAGCAUUGCGUGACCCGAAUGUCUCUCGCAGAAUUGAAAGGAGAAUUGGCAAGGGGGGUGUGGGUGAUGUGCAUGUUUCUGUUGGUAAAAGGAGUAUCAGCGCCUAUUUUGACAGGCAAUUAUCUAGCAACAAAGUAUCUAUGCAGCCCAAGAUCAGUAGUGCUUUGGAUCCUAAUUCAAGAGAUGCACUUGGUCUAGCUUGGUCCAAGUUUUUUCAUGCCAAUGAUAUUGCUGGACGUAAAGCUGAUUGCCCAUACUUUCGAGCUGCUGUGAAGAUCACUCAACAAUUAGGGCCUAUUCCUAUACCAACCGCGGAGGAGAUUGAUGGGCCAUAUUUGGAGGCCAACUAUGAUGAAGCUAAUUUAUGUUUCUCUUUUUUCUGUUCUUUAACUCAUGUGGCUCUAUUGUUUUUCAGCUGCUGUCCUUGACCCAUAUACACAUUACAAGCUGAACCUUUGCAACCACACAGAUUAUGCCACUUCACUAACAGAUGCGAUAGCGAAGAUAUUAGACCGAGUGAGUGCUCUUUCAGCCAUUGAUGAAGUGAGCAAGUUCAGGGAGUGCCAAGGGAGGUUUGGGACCAGAUUGGCAGAAGAAGCUGCGGCGAGAAUGGGGCCAACCCAAUGGUGGUUUCAGUUUGGAGGGGAUGUUCCUGCAUUGCAGAAAUGUGCAAUGAGAAUUUGCUCACAAUGUGUCUCCUCUAGUGGGUGUGAGAGAAAUUGGAGCGCUUUUGCUUUGGUGCACACAAAGCAAAGAAGUCAUCUUCUAUAUGACAAGCUCCACAAGCUAGUUUCUGUACGCUACAACUUAAAGAUACGUGCUGAAGAAGAUCAAGAGAAAGAGAGAGAUAUAGAUAAAGAAAUUGAUCCAAGUGCAUUGCUAAUGGAUACCACAAUGUUUGAUGAAACAAACCCAAUAAUGGAGUGGCUGAAUGAGGAUGUAGAGGAUCCGAUUGUGGAUGGAGCUGAUGCAGCUAGUGCUGUUUUUGAGCAAAUAAGGCGCCUCAACUCAAGCAGGAAGGCGUCUUAUGUUGGUUCAAAGGGUAAUAACAAGAAAAGAAAGAGGAAUGAUGAUGAUGAGAAUGAGUUUCUUGAAACUGAGAGUGAGGAUGAUGAAGAAGAGAAUGAAUAUGUUGAUAAUGACAUCGAGGAUGAUGAUGGGGUGAGUGAGGAUGAUGAGGAUGGUGAACAAGAUCAGCUUGAGACACAAAUGCAACUUGAAGAAGAGACACAAGUACAAGUUCAAAAGGAGGCACCAACAAGCACUGGCCAUUUGGAGACUAGAUCUGGACGACUUAUUAGGAAGAAGACCAAGAACGUCAACAGCCUCUACUCGUAAAUUUGAAAUGGCACGUGAGCAAGGAUAUCAAGAAGCUUUUGGAUGUUGGGAAGCUUGGAGCUGAUGCUUCAAAUAAGCUGAUGGUUGUCUUUUGGAGAUGUUUCUAUGUUUAAUGCUUUAAAGUCUUUUGGCUGUACUGGACUAUUUAAACUUUGAACUAUGCUGUGAUGGUUGAACUGAUGCUGGACGGUUAAGGGUUUAUGUCAGAGGCAAUUUUAUAACUAAUGUGUGCCUGUUAUGUUGGACUGUUAAGGGUUAUGUUGGAGGCAAUUUUAUAACUAAUGUGUGUCUGCUAUGUUGGAUUGUUAACUGUUAUGUUGGAGGCAACAUUAUAGCUAACGUGUGCCUGUUAUGUUGGGCAGAUUCAAUUUUCUUAA